AGUAGAGAGGAGACAUUGCUGGAAUUGGCAGGAGAGGAGGGUAACCUGCAUAGAUCACAUGACCCCACCAAUGAAGAUGGAGGCGGACCGGAGUCGCAUAACUGAGAAGAUACUAAACCUCACCCUGGAGAUCAUCUACCUGGUGACAGGAGAGAGAUUUCCUCUUGUGAAGUC